rnacentral:rRNA from 1 species
GAUGAACGCUGGCGGCGUGCCUAACACAUGCAAGUCGAACGGACAUUUUUUGGAAAGCUCUUCGGAGCUGGAAUCUAAAUGUUAGUGGCGGACUGGUGAGUAACGCGUAAGCAAUCUGCCUAUCAGAGGGGAAUAACAGUGAGAAAUCACUGCUAAUACCGCAUAAGCUGUGAGUAUCGCAUGAUACAAAUAGAAAAGGAGCAAUCCGCUGAUAGAUGAGCUUGCGUCUGAUUAGUUAGUUGUGAGGUAACGGCCACCAAGACGAUGAUCAGUAGCCGGACUGAGAGGUUGAACGGCCACAUUGGGACUGAGAUACGGCCCAG